AUUGAACGCUGGCGGCAGGCCUAACACAUGCAAGUCGAGCGAGUGGCGGACGGGUGAGUAAUGUCUGGGAAACUGCCCGACGGAGGGGGAUAACUACUGGAAACGGUAGCUAAUACCGCAUACCAUCGGAUGUGCCCAGAUGGGAGUUGCCAGUGGGUGGGGUAACGGCUCACCUAGGCGACGAUCCCUAGCUGGUCUGAGAGGAUGACCAGCCACACUGGAACUGAGACACGGUCCAGACUCCUACGGGAGGCAGCGGUGGGGAAUAGUGCGCAAUGGGCGCAAGCCUGAUGCAGCCAUGCCGCGUGUAUGAAGAAGGCCUUCGGGUUGUAAAGUACUUUCAGCGAGGAGGCGUUACUCGCAGAAGAAGCACCGGCUAACUCCGUGCCAGCAGCCGCGGUAAUAC
rnacentral:rRNA from 1 species